UACGGAGGGGGCUAGCGUUGUUCGGAAUUACUGGGCGUAAAGCGCACGUAGGCGGCUUUGUAAGUUAGAGGUGAAAGCCCGGGGCUCAACCCCGGAAUUGCCUUUAAGACUGCAUCGCUAGAAUUGUGGAGAGGUAAGUGGAAUUCCGAGUGUAGAGGUGAAAUUCGUAGAUAUUCGGAAGAACACCAGUGGCGAAGGCGGCGACCUGGUCCGAUACUGGACGCUGAGGCGCGAAAGC
rnacentral:rRNA from 1 species